rnacentral:rRNA from 1 species
GGCUCAGGAUGAACGCUGGCGGCGUGCCUAAUACAUGCAAGUCGAGCGAACGGACGAGAAGCUUGCUUCUCUGAUGUUAGCGGCGGACGGGUGAGUAACACGUGGAUAACCUACCUAUAAGACUGGGAUAACUUCGGGAAACCGGAGCUAAUACCGGAUAAUAUUUUGAACCGCAUGGUUCAAAAGUGAAAGACGGUCUUGCUGUCACUUAUAGAUGGAUCCGCGCUGCAUUAGCUAGUUGGUAAGGUAACGGCUUACCAAGGCAACGAUGCAUAGCCGACCUGAGAGGGUGAUCGGCCACACUGGAACUGAGACACGGUCCAGACUCCUACGGGAGGCAGCAGUAGGGAAUCUUCCGCAAUGGGCGAAAGCCUGACGGAGCAACGCCGCGUGAGUGAUGAAGGUCUUCGGAUCGUAAAACUCUGUUAUUAGGGAAGAACAUAUGUGUAAGUAACUGUGCACAUCUUGACGGUACCUAAUCAGAAAGCCACGGCUAACUACGUGCCAGCAGCCGCGGUAAUACGUAGGUGGCAAGCGUUAUCCGGAAUUAUUGGGCGUAAAGCGCGCGUAGGCGGUUUUUUAAGUCUGAUGUGAAAGCCCACGGCUCAACCGUGGAGGGUCAUUGGAAACUGGAAAACUUGAGUGCAGAAGAGGAAAGUGGAAUUCCAUGUGUAGCGGUGAAAUGCGCAGAGAUAUGGAGGAACACCAGUGGCGAAGGCGACUUUCUGGUCUGUAACUGACGCUGAUGUGCGAAAGCGUGGGGAUCAAACAGGAUUAGAUACCCUGGUAGUCCACGCCGUAAACGAUGAGUGCUAAGUGUUAGGGGGUUUCCGCCCCUUAGUGCUGCAGCUAACGCAUUAAGCACUCCGCCUGGGGAGUACGACCGCAAGGUUGAAACUCAAAGGAAUUGACGGGGACCCGCACAAGCGGUGGAGCAUGUGGUUUAAUUCGAAGCAACGCGAAGAACCUUACCAAAUCUUGACAUCCUU